rnacentral:piRNA from 1 species
UGGGUCUGACCUUACCUCCACAGUGUUGC